GAGAAUUUAUUAUUUUUAUUAUUUAUUGUUUUUAUUUUCACUAAAAAUAUUUUCAAAAAUUCAACCAAAAACAUUUUCAGUAAAAAUAAAAACAAAAACAAUCAAAUCAAACCAAAACCCCCUCAAUUUUCCGGCCUUUUCUAUUUUACCCCACACUGAAAAGGGAGGUUUUGUGGGCAUGUGUAAACCGAUUAUGGUCGGUCCAUCCAUCGGUGAAGCAGCGACUGAGGCGCGCCGAACUACAUCGAGCCGGAGAUCAUCCGAUAAUGACCAUGAUCAAUUCAAAAUUCAAAACAACACUGAUGACCACAAACCAAAAAAUCCAAUAAUGACCAUGAUCAAUUCAAAAUUAAAUUUAGACUUUACGGAUCCCACGAUAAUCCAUUGCAAUUAAAAAUUACAAAUAACCAUCAAGAAUCCAUUACAAAUGCAAAUUACAAGCAACCUAAUUGAAAGAAAGGGAAGAAAAAUUGUGAAUCUUCAUCCUCGUCACGGCACACUGACGACGCAAUGAUAGCCCACCCUCUCCACACACUGCGCGCGCCUCCUUCUCUCCCCCGGGCUCUCCUCCUUUACGCGCCCAAACCUUCCCUCAGCUCCGUCAGUGACAACCUAAAGUCUCCAUGGAAGUGAAUGAAGAACUCCGUAAGAUGCCUAAUCUCGAUGAGGGGAAAGGGAAAAGGAUUGGGGUAAACUCUUACCACUGCACCUUUUGGGAGAGUUUUUAAAAAUGGUUCUUUUUGUUUGGAGGCUUAAAUGUUAUUUCACAUUAAAUUUUUCUUAACUGAUUAAACAUAUUUUAAGU
rnacentral:lncRNA from 1 species